rnacentral:rRNA from 1 species
UACGUAGGGGGCUAGCGUUGUCCGGAAUCAUUGGGCGUAAAGCGCGCGUAGGCGGUCAGGUAAGUCCGGUGUGAAAGUCAUAGGCUCAACCUAUGGAUGCCGCUGGAAACUGCCUGACUUGAGUCCGGAAGGGGCGAGUGGAAUUCCUGGUGUAGCGGUGAAAUGCGCAGAUAUCAGGAGGAACACCAAUGGCGAAGGCAGCUCUCUGGUACGUGACUGACACUGAGACGCGAAAGCGUGGGGAGCGAACAGG